CGCAAACCGCCUCCAUGUUGGACCAAGCAACCAGCCUGACCGUGGUGCUGCUGGUGGCCCUGGAAGAGAGCCAGAUGAUCUCCCUACCGGUGACUGAAAGCAUCCACUUCAGUGUGCUGGAGUCUGUGGUCCUUUAUCUGGAGAAGGAGACCGACUUUGAGAAAAAGAGGGUCCUGCUGCAGUGCUUUGGGAAAGUGCUGACGAGCUUGAUGCAGACAGGACGAGAUGUGACUAGUGACAGGUUUUUCCUCAUCAAGGAGUAUUUUCGUAUCCCUUUGGCCAGCCUGCGGGCAGUGCUAAGUGCAGUGGACUUUGCCACAGUCCGAGAGAUCACGCAGUACUACAGCAGGAACCAGGCAACGCUGCAGCUCACUGAGGACUACCUGAGCACCAUGAUAUCAGUGUUUUUCCAGACCCAGUUGGUCAAAGAUGGGAACCUCUUUCCUGAACUUACCCCCCUACUGGCCCUGGCCAGCCCUGCAGACAUCCAGUCACUGCCCCCCUUUCAGACCUACUCCAGUGUGAUAAAGACCAUCAAUGGAAACAUUGGGAGCCUGUCUGUGGAGCAGCGGCGGGCCUUCGGGAAGUGGUACAGCCAAGCUUUCAGCUCCCUCAACAUAACAGCUGGUGGCCUCACCCUCAUCAGGGACACCGGUAACCUGAUCGUCUACUUGCCCCUCCAAAGCUUCCAGCACCUCUCGCCUGCUCAGCUGUUGGAUGGAAUGGAUAUUGUGCUGGUGAACACCCUGAGCCCUCUCCAGCAGCAGUUUGU
ensembl:lncRNA